rnacentral:rRNA from 1 species
UCGAGCGAACAGAUGAAGUGCUUGCACUUCUGACGUUAGCGGCGAACGGGUGAGUAACACGUAAGGAAUCUACCUAUAAGCGGGGGAUAACAUUCGGAAACGGGUGCUAAUACCGCAUAAUAUCUUCUUCCGCAUGGAAGAAGAUUGAAAGACGGCUCUGCUGUCACUUAUAGAUGACCUUGCGGUGCAUUAGUUAGUUGGUGGGGUAAYGGCCUACCAAGACGAUGAUGCAUAGCCGACCUGAGAGGGUGAUCGGCCACAUUGGGACUGAGACACGGCCCAAACUCCUACGGGAGGCAGCAGUAGGGAAUCUUCCGCAAUGGGCGAAAGCCUGACGGAGCAAUGCCGCGUGAGUGAAGAAGGCCUUCGGGUCGUAAAACUCUGUUAUAAGAGAAGAACAAAUUGUAGAGUAACUGCUACAGUCUUGACGGUAUCUUAUCAGAAAGCCACGGCUAACUACGUGCCAGCAGCCGCGGUAAUACGUAGGUGGCAAGCGUUGUCCGGAUUUAUUGGGCGUAAAGGGAGCGCAGGUGGUUUCUUAAGUCUGAUGUG